UCUACAGUGACGUUGAGUUCCCAACCAAACUUCAGCUAUGAAGAUCCUUUACCUUCUUUUUGCUGUCCUCUUCCUCAUGAUGCAAGUUGGUGCACAAGGAGGUUGUCGUCCCGGGGCUGUCUUGAGAUGUUGGAAAGCAAAAGGAGACUGUUACUUUACACGAUGUCCUCGUAAUAAAAAAUACUUGGGACGCUGCUGUAGGUGGGGCGUUUGCUGCAGAUGAGGUCCAAGUGAGCGAUGGCAGCAAAGACUGUCAAUGCAGCAUCUCUGGAAAUCUGGGAGACAUCAACUUGCUUCUAAAACCUUUGGAGAAAGUCCACAAAGGAACUUUGUAUCAUAUUUUAAGACUUUUUACUCUUCUUUCAAUAAAAGCAACUGGUU